rnacentral:rRNA from 1 species
CGGGUGGCGACCGGCGAACGGGUGCGUAACACGUGAGCGACCUGCCUUCCUGCGGGGGAUAGCCGGCCCAACGGCCGGGUAAUACCGCAUACGCUCGCUUUCUCGCAUGGGAGAGCGAGGAAACUUCCGGGGCGGGAAGAGGGGCUCGCGGCCUAUCAGCUAGUUGGCGGGGUAACGGCCCACCAAGGCGACGACGGGUAGCUGGUCUGAGAGGAUGGCCAGCCACAUUGGGACUGAGAGACGGCCCAGACUCCUACGGGAGGCAGCAGUGGGGAAUCUUGCGCAAUGGCCGAGAGGCUGACGCAGCGACGCCGCGUGCGGGAUGACGGCCUUCGGGUUGUAAACCGCUGUUGCCCGGGACGAACGGCCCGAUACGUCGGGCGUGACGGUACCGGGUGAGGAAGCACCGGCUAACUCCGUGCCAGCAGCCGCGGUAAUACGGAGGGUGCGAGCGUUG